rnacentral:rRNA from 1 species
AAAGAAGAGUCAUUGCACGAUGAUUACAUGAAGAUUGGCUUAGAAGCAGCCAUUCUACAAUGAAAGCGUAGCAGCUCACGUGUUGAGUGGAAUGGUUUUACAAAUGGCCGGGAAUUUAUUGAUAUACUGACGCUCACUGACAGAGAGAU